CGCGUAGGCUGCGGGGUAAGUCGGGUGUGAAAUCUCAGGGCUCAACCCUGAAACUGCACUCGAUACUGCUCUGCUUGAGGACUGGAGAGGAGACUGGAAUUCACGGUGUAGCAGUGAAAUGCGUAGAUAUCGUGAGGAAGACCAGUGGCGAAGGCGGGUCUCUGGACAGUUCCUGACGCUGAGGCGCGAAGGCCAGGGGAGCAAACG
rnacentral:rRNA from 1 species